GACGAACGCUGGCGGCGUGCCUAACACAUGCAAGUCGAACGGAGCAGAGACUUCGGUUUUUGCUUAGUGGCGAACGGGUGAGUAACGCGUGAGAAACCUGCCUUUCAGUGGGGGACAACAGUUGGAAACGACUGCUAAUACCGCAUAAUGUAUCGAGCGGGCAUCCUCUUGAUACCAAAGAUUUAUUGCUGAAAGAUGGUCUCGCGUCUGAUUAGCUAGUUGGUGAGGUAACGGCUCACCAAGGCGACGAUCAGUAGCCGGUCUGAGAGGAUGAACGGCCACAUUGGGACUGAGAUACGGCCCAGACUCCUACGGGAGGCAGCAGUGGGGAAUAUUGGGCAAUGGGGGAAACCCUGACCCAGCAACGCCGCGUGAAGGAAGAAGGCCUUCGGGUUGUAAACUUCUUUUACCAGGGACGAAGGACGUGACGGUACCUGGAGAAAAAGCAACGGUUAACUACGUGCCAGCCGCCGCAGUAAAAC
rnacentral:rRNA from 1 species